GCAGGUGCUUUUGGGUAUGUAAAGCAACAGGAGCUUUGAAGAUACUGUGAGGAAAACAGCAUGGAGCAUAGAGAGUAUUUAAGUUCAUGAUUUUUGGAUUGUGGGUUUGGGAGUGGUGCCACUCACAAUAACACGCUUGGACUCAGUGUGAAGCCAGAGACUCAAGGACCUAGGCACACUCAGGAGAGGACAAGUAGCCGACUUGCUGGGAGUUGGCCCAUAUAACACAAAGCUCAUAUGUUGUUUUUGGUUUACUUUAUUGCAGCUGACUGAGAGGUUAACAGGCGAUCGUGGCAGAGGUGCUCUGAGGCAUACUCAUUUCAGAUGCAGAUGGAUAAAAUCCAUAGCAGAGCACCCCAUCCCAGGAAGUAAAGGCAUAUAGCAACAGUCAAGUUCAAGUGGGCAAGGCAAUCUGCUCAGGUUAUGCCAAGCCCCUGUCAUCAACCGGCCGAUGGACCAGGUUGCUUCUGAGUAGCCCUCAGGAAUGACCAAGGAGUUGUGGUGAGUCGGGGAGGUAUCGAGGAGGAGCCGGGGUCCGCUCAGUUCUCAGCUGUGCUACAUCACCUCGUCUCCUCUGAGACGACAGCGUCAGUCUCGGAGUUCGGCCGAAGCGUGCGGCCCGAGGACCCAGUCACUCUUAGGAGGCGGAGACGACAGCCCGGUGACAGCAGGAACCUCCCAGACAGCCUGGUGGCCUUCCUUUGCACCUGAUGUGGAUUCUCAUUCCUGGACAUGCAAGAGAUAAGUUGAGGGCUAUGACUCACAGAGGGGAUGGAAGGGGGCUGCUGCAUCAGGACUCCCUGGGAGGGAUUUUUGAGUCAGGCUUGGAGAUGAGGCUAUCCAGGAAAAGUCAUCUUACGGCCACACAAAAGCAAAGUGUCACUUUUGAUCCCAGUGCUGUGGUCAGGAGGGCAGAGCAGUCCCGGUGUGUAUUGUGUCACUUGUCUAUUGUGCAUUAUGUGUUGUUUGUAUGUCUCAUGUCUUUUUUCUUAGCCCUUUGAGUGGCCUGUCAGAAACCCUGGCAUCAUUCUUGGCAUCUGUGAUCUCUGCAUUUCUUGGCCUGGCACCAAUGCCAUAGGACUUUUGUCUCAGGCUCUCUGAUAGGCAUGAGAAGCGCAUCUCUCUUUAGGAGCUUCCGGUCAGAUGUCUUUGAAGGUCUUG